UACGGGGGGGCAAGCGUUGUUCGGAAUUACUGGGCGUAAAGGGCUCGUAGGCGGCCAACUAAGUCAGACGUGAAAUCCCUCGGCUUAACCGGGGAACUGCGUCUGAUACUGGUUGGCUUGAAUUCGGGAGAGGGAUGCAGAAUUCCAGGUGUAGCGGUGAAAUGCGUAGAUAUCUGGAGGAAUACCGGUGGCGAAGGCGGCAUCCUGGACCGACAUUGACGCUGAUGAGCGAAAGCUAGGGGAGCAACGGG
rnacentral:rRNA from 1 species